rnacentral:rRNA from 1 species
AUUGAACGCUGGCGGCAGGCCUAACACAUGCAAGUCGAACGAGUUGCGGACGGGUGAGUAAUGUCUGGUAAACUGCCUGAUGGAGGGGGAUAACUACUGGACACGGUAGCUAUUACCGCAUACCAUCGGAUUUGCCCAGUUGGGAUUGGCUGGUAGGUGGGGUAAAGGCUCACCUAGGCGACGAUCCCUAGCUGGUCUGAGAGGAUGACCCGCCACACUGGAACUGAGAAACGGUCCUGAAUCCUACGGGAGGCAGCAGUGGGGAAUAGUGCACAAUGGGCGCAAGCCUGAUGCAGCCAUGCCGCGUGUAUGAAGAAGGCAUUCGGGUUGUAAAGUACUUUCAGCGGGGAGGCGUUACCCGCAGAAGAAGCACCGGCUAACUCCGUGCCAGCAGCCGCGGUAAUAC